rnacentral:rRNA from 1 species
UACAGAGGAUGCAAGCGUUAUCCGGAAUGAUUGGGCGUAAAGCGUCUGUAGGUGGCUUUUUAAGUCCGCCGUCAAAUCCCAGGGCUCAACUCUGGACAGGCGGUGGAAACUACCAAGCUGGAGUACGGUAGGGGCAGAGGGAAUUUCCGGUGUAGCGGUGAAAUGCGUAGAUAUCGAGAGGAACACCUGCGGCGAAGGCGGGUUGCUGGGCUGACACUGACGCUGAUGCGCGAAAGCCAGGGGAGCGAACGGG